rnacentral:rRNA from 1 species
GAUCCUGGCUCAGGAUGAACGCUAGCUACAGGCUUAACACAUGCAAGUCGAGGGGCAGCAUGAUUGAAGCUUGCUUCAAUCGAUGGCGACCGGCGCACGGGUGAGUAACACGUAUCCAACCUGCCGAUAACUCGGGGAUAGCCUUUCGAAAGAAAGAUUAAUACCCGAUAGUAUAGUAUUUCCGCAUGGUUUCACUAUUAAAGAACUUCGGUUAUCGAUGGGGAUGCGUUCCAUUAGA